rfam:Oryza rufipogon genomic scaffold, chr08
AAAAAAAUAAACCCCGGGUUUCCGUGUCCAACGUUUGACUGUCCGUCUUAUACUGUCCAAUUUUUUUAUAAUUAGUAUUUUCAUUGUUGUUAGAUGAUAAAACAUGAUUAAUACUUUAUGCGUGACUUGUCUUUUUAAUUUUUUCAUAAUUUUUUCAAAUAAGACGGACAGUCAAACGUUGGACACGGAAACCCAGGAUUUGUCUUUUU